UCAAGUUUCGAAGAGCAAACGGUGGAUGCCUUGGCAUCUGGAGCCGAAGAAGGACGUAGUAAUCUGCGAUAAGCCUCGGGGAGCCGAUAAACGGGCUGUGAUCCGAGGAUUUCCGAAUGGGGAAACCCCGCCAGCGCGCGUGCGUAGCUGGUGACUCCCGCCUGAAUAUAUAGGGCGGGUAGAGGGAACGUGGGGAAGUGAAACAUCUCAGUACCCACAGGAAGAGAAAACAACAUGUGAUUCCGGUAGUAGUGGCGAGCGAACCCGGAUGAGGCUAAACCGGUGGUGUGUGAUACCUGGCAGGGGUUGCAUCAUCGGGGUUGUGGGACGUUUCAAGGAGCGCUGCCAUGCUUCUAGCGUGAAUGUUCAGGUUAUAGGGGAACCGCUUGGAACGGCGGACCGGAGUGGGUGAGAGUCCCGUACCCGAAAUGAUCUGGCUGCGCGAGGCGUAUCCCAAGUAGCACGGGGCCCGAGAAAUCCCGUGUGAAUCUGUCAGGACCACCUGAUAAGCCUAAAUACUCCCAGAUGACCGAUAGCGGACUAGUACCGUGAGGGAAAGGUGAAAAGUACCCCGGGAGGGGAGUGAAAUAGUACCUGAAACCGUUUGCUUACAAUCCGUUGGAGCAGCCUUGUUGCUGUGACAGCGUGCCUUUUGAAGAAUGAGCCUGCGAGUUAGCGAUAUGUGGCGAGGUUAACCCGUGUGGGGAAGCCGUAGCGAAAGCGAGUCUGAAUAGGGCGAUUCAGUCGCAUGUCCUAGACCCGAAGCGAAGUGAUCUAUCCAUGGCCAGGCUGAAGCGCGUGUAAGAGCGCGUGGAGGGCCGAACCCACUUAGGUUGAAAACUGAGGGGAUGAGCUGUGGAUAGGGGUGAAAGGCCAAUCAAACUUCGUGAUAGCUGGUUCUCUCCGAAAUGCAUUUAGGUGCAGCGUUGCGUGUUUCUUGCCGGAGGUAGAGCUACUGGAUGGCCGAUGGGCCCUACAAGGUUACUGACGUCAGCUAAACUCCGAAUGCCGGUAAGUGAGAGCGCAGCAGUGAGACUGUGGGGGAUAAGCUUCAUAGUCGAGAGGGAAACAACCCAGAUCACCAUCUAAGGUCCCAAAGCGCGUGCUAAGUGGAAAAGGAUGUGGAGUUGCUGUGACAACCAGGAGGUUGGCUUAGAAGCAGCCACCCUUGAAAGAGUGCGUAAUAGCUCACUGGUCAAGUGAUUCCGCGCCGACAAUGUAACGGGGCUCAAGCACGCCACCGAAGUUGUGGCAUUCAUAUAACAGGUAGGCCUUCGUGGUCCAGCCGUAUGGAUGGGUAGGAGAGCGUCGUGUGGCGAGUGAAGCGGCGGUGUGAACCAGCCGUGGAUGCCACACGAGUGAGAAUGCAGGCAUGAGUAGCGAAAGACGGGUGAGAAACCCGUCCUCCGGAAGACCAAGGGUUCCAGGGUCAAGCUAAUCUUCCCUGGGUAAGUCGGGACCUAAGGCGAGGCCGACAGGCGUAGUCGAUGGACAACGGGUUGAUAUUCCCGUACCGGCUGGUAACCGUUCAAGACCUAACUAGUAGUGCUAAGCAAACCAAAGCUUCAUGGAUCCUUCGGGUGAUGUGGGGUGGCGGCUGCGAACCCGAACUGGGGUGGUGAGCGUGAGGUGUGACGCAGGAAGGUAGGUGAUCCCGGGCGAUGGUUGUCCCGGGCUAAGCAUGUAGCCUGCGGGAUAGGCAAAUCCGUCCCGCAUAUAAGGGUGAGAUGCGAUGGGGACCCGUAUGGGGAAGUCAUUGAUCCUAUGCUGCCGAGAAAAGCAUCGACGUGAGGUUGCUAGUUGCCCGUACCCCAAACCGACACAGGUGGUCAGGUAGAGAAUACUAAGGAGCUCGAGAUAAUUAUGGUGAAGGAACUCGGCAAAAUGCCCCCGUAACUUCGGGAGAAGGGGGGCCAUCCGCCUAUUAGGAUUUACUCCGAAAGGGUGUGGUGGCCGCAGAGACCAGUGGGGAACGACUGUUUACUAAAAACACAGGUCCGUGCUAACACGCAAGUGGACGUAUACGGACUGACGCCUGCCCGGUGCUGGAAGGUUAAGAGGAGCGGUUAGCAGACUUGUCUGCGAAGCUGUGAAUUUAAGCCCCAGUAAACGGCGGUGGUAACUAUAACCAUCCUAAGGUAGCGAAAUUCCUUGUCGGGUAAGUUCCGACCUGCACGAAUGGCGUAACG
rnacentral:rRNA from 1 species